GUGAGGAAUAUUGGACAAUGGGCGCAAGCCUGAUCCAGCCAUGCCGCGUGCAGGAAGACGCAUCUAUGGUGUGUAAACUGCUUUUGUACGGGAAGAAACACUCCCUCGUGAGGGAGCUUGACGGUACCGUAAGAAUAAGGAUCGGCUAACUCCGUGCCAGCAGCCGCGGUAAUACGGAGGAUCCAAGCGUUAUCCGGAAUCAUUGGGUUUAAAGGGUCCGUAGGCGGUGUAAUAAGUCAGUGGUGAAAGCCCAUCGCUCAACGAUGGAACGGCCAUUGAUACUGUUAGUCUUGAAUUACAAGGAAGUAACUAGAAUAUGUAGUGUAGCGGUGAAAUGCUUAGAUAUUACAUGGAAUACCAAUUGCGAAGGCAGGUUACUACUUGUGGAUUGACGCUGAUGGACGAAAGCGUGGGGAGCGAACAGGAUUAGAUACCCGUGUAGUCC
rnacentral:rRNA from 1 species